rnacentral:rRNA from 1 species
AGUGAACGCUGGCGGUAGGCCUAACACAUGCAAGUCGAACGGCAGCACAGUAAGAGCUUGCUCUUACGGGUGGCGAGUGGCGGACGGGUGAGGAAUACAUCGGAAUCUACUUUUUCGUGGGGGAUAACGUAGGGAAACUUACGCUAAUACCGCAUACGACCUACGGGUGAAAGCAGUGGAUCUUCGGACCUUGCGCGACUGAAUGAGCCGAUGUCGGAUUAGCUAGUUGGCGGGGUAAAGGCCCACCAAGGCAACGAUACGUAGCUGGUCUGAGAGGAUGAUCAGCCACACUGGAACUGAGACACGGUCCAGACUCCUACGGGAGGCAGCAGUGGGGAAUCUUGGACAAUGGGCGCAAGCCUGAUCCAGCAAUACCGCGUGGGUGAAGAAGGUCUUCGGGUCGUAAAGCCCUUUUGUUGGGAAAGAAAAGCAGUAUGUUAAUACCCCGCUGUUUUGACGGUACCCAAAGAAUAAGCACCGGCUAACUUCGUG